rnacentral:rRNA from 1 species
UGGGGAAUAUUGCACAAUGGGCGAAAGCCUGAUGCAGCAACGCCGCGUGAGUGAUGAAGGCCUUCGGGUUGUAAAGCUCUGUCCUUUGGGACGAUAAUGACGGUACCAAAGGAGGAAGCCACGGCUAACUACGUGCCAGCAGCCGCGGUAAUACGUAGGUGGCAAGCGUUGUCCGGAUUUACUGGGCGUAAAGGAUGCGUAGGCGGAUUUUUAAGUGAGAUGUGAAAUACCCGGGCUUAACUUGGGUGCUGCAUUUCAAACUGGGAAUCUAGAGUGCGGGAAGAGGAGAAUGGAAUUCCUAUGUAGCGGUGAAAUGCGUAGAGAUUAGGAAGAACACCAGUGGCGAAAGGCGAUUCUCUGGACCGUAACUGACGCUGAGGCAUGAAAGCGUGGGUAGCAAAACAGGAUUAGAUACCCUGGUAGUCCACGCCGUAAACGAUGAGUACUAGGUGUAGGAGG